AAAAUAGUAACUAUUGAUAAAAUACCUAUAUGAACUUAGUGAUAUUUUUUCAGUUCUAAAAAUGUUUAAAUCAUAAUUUUCAGAUUAUGUUCUAAAUAAAGUAGAAAUGACAUUCUACGAAGUAGAAAAAGAAAUCCAUUUUUUUCAUUAAAUCUACAAUGUUUAAAAUACAUGAUCUACGUAAAUAAAAGUAUUCUAAAAAUAUUUAGAAUACACAUUCUGCGCUUAACCUACCGAUCUAAAAUCUUUAAAAAUCAAAAUCUACACAUUAAUAUAAAUCUAAAACACAUAAAAACCGACUUCUACAUAUUUACUGUAAAUCUAAAACAUAUAAAAAUCAAAAUCUACACAUUACUUUAAUUCUAAAAACCUAUAGAAACAUAUUUCUACAUAUUAGUUGUAUUUUUUAGAUAAGAAACCAGUUUCUAAAAAUAUGGAAAGAAAAUAUUUGGAAAUUCACUUUAAUAUUUUGAAAAAAUGAUUUGAAAAAAACAAAAAAAAAAGAAAAAAAAAGUGGUAACCUUCUUCUCACGCCAUUUUCUAUAUUUCACUGAUUAUUCACAAAAUUUUCAUAAAACUUUCACAUUAUUUCUACCAUGAUUCAUAUCUAUGCUUCCACGGAUCGAUCGGUCUAUAAUUUAUGAAAUCGAUAUUUGGCGAUCGAGUGAAAUGGACCAGGUCGAUCAGUAUAUGCUCCGCGUCUUUUGUUCUGUAUAAUGAUCAGGAUCGAUUGAUCCGUUCGACCUUGUAAUUUCGGAUCGAUCGAUCCCGCUUGAUCGAACACAUUAUUUAUUAUAUUUAAAAAUUACAAUUUUAAGGGCAUUAUUGUCAUUUUGAAAAUAAAUAGCCUAAUGUGACAUAAAGUAUAUGAGAUUAGUCUACAGGGACAUAGUUAUCAUUGUUUGCUCUAUAAAAAUAAUUUUUCCCUAACUAAAAUAAAACCCAUAAUAUUAUUUAUAAACUAUACAUUCU
rnacentral:lncRNA from 1 species